rnacentral:rRNA from 1 species
CCGCCCGUCACAUCACGAAAGUGGGCUGUACUAGAAGCCGGUGCGCCGAUCCGCAAGGGAGGUAGCCGUCCAAGGUGUAGCUCAUGAUUGGGGUG